GUGCUGGCUUUGUCGUGUGGGUACUUCGUAAACUCGUUGGUUACAAUUUGUUCUGUCAAAUGCGGGUUCGAAUCCCGCACCCCUUGCGACCCACUGACGCCAUCCGGCACUUUU
rnacentral:vault_RNA from 1 species